CGUCUCAGUUCGGAUUGUAGUCUGCAACCCGACUACAUGAAGCUGGAAUCGCUAGUAAUCGCGAAUCAGAAUGUCGCGGUGAAUACGUUCCCGGGCCUUGUACACACCGCCCGUCAAGCCAUGGGAGUCGGGAGUGCCUGAAGUUCGUGACCGUAUAGGAGCGACCUAGGGCAAGACUGAUGACUGGGGCUAAGUCGUAACAAGGUAGC
rnacentral:rRNA from 1 species